UACGUAGGGGGCAAGCGUUGUCCGGAAUCAUUGGGCGUAAAGAGCGUGUAGGCGGUUUGGUAAGUCGGCUGUGAAAGUCCAGGGCUCAACCCUGGGAUGCCGGUCGAUACUGCCGGACUAGAGUUCGGAAGAGGCGAGUGGAAUUCCCGGUGUAGCGGUGAAAUGCGCAGAUAUCGGGAGGAACACCUAUGGCGAAGGCAGCUCGCUGGGACGUUACUGACGCUGAGACGCGAAAGCGUGGGGAGCAAACAGG
rnacentral:rRNA from 1 species